rnacentral:lncRNA from 1 species
UUCGCAAUUUUAUAUGCACGCAGUAAAAGGGUAUCUGCAAAUUAUGGUUGGUUUGGUGACUUGAUCUACUUGUCACUGACAACAGUUAUCGGCAUCAAGAAACCAUUGCCUUUUUGAAAUGUUAUUGGAAAUAUCAGAACUUGUGCAGAUUGAUUCUUUUACGGUUUGCGUUGGCAAUCUGAGUCUGAGAUUACAACAGGGAUAAGUCAGCUAGCCGAAAAUAUAAUUUUUAGUUGGGAGCAACAAAACCACAAACUUUGCGCCAAGAUAAGCAAUCUAUUGCAGUGAAGCUGGUGUUUUCAUGCUUUAAUAGCAUCAGAGUGAGAACGCUGUGAUGGAUCCGCUGAUGGGAGCCUUGUAUCCUUCUAAUGGGCUCCGCCCAGAUGAUCAGUCGAUCUCUGCUGUUGUAGAUCAUUGUUUAGCUUCUAGACCGACUUUUCAAAGCGCACCUG